AGUGAUAAAAAUUUAAAAUGCACACACUGAUUUGAUAUUCAAAUCAAGAUGUGGCUUCGCCUUUGUGUGACAAAGAUUUUGUAUAAAAACUCGAGCGCCCUUUGGAAAAGUUAUCAAACAGUCUUUACUUUCGUAUUCAAUUACAAGUGUUCGCUAACGCAACAAACUCAAACGCAAAAAUGUUCAACCUUUUCAAAGUGCUCAUCGUGAUCGCCGCCUUGGUGUGCAUCGCUGCUGCCAACCCCAGCAUCGUGGGACCCGGCCUCAUCCACGGUCUUGGCUCAACUGUAGUUGUGGGACCAGUCGGUCCAGUCGGCCCAAUUGUAGGUGUAGGUCUGGGUCAUGCUGGCGUUGUUGGUCACCCACAUUUACAUGGUUAAAUAACUGCUUCUAAACUACACUAAUUGGACUGCCAACAGUCCCCACUUGACAUAUCACUUUGCACUCAUCAUUCUUUCUUCUCACCCCACAUCACUUAUGGAACCACGAAUGUUAGGAAUUUCGCAACUUUAGUAUAUCUUUGUGUCUCGUUCGUUGCAUUGUUGCGUACUCCUUUA